GGCAGGCUUAAUACAUGCAAGUCGUGGGGCAGCAGGUUUGUAGCAAUACAGAUGCUGGCGACCGGCAAACGGGUGCGGAACACGUACACAACCUUCCUUUUAGUGGAGAAUAGCCCAGGGAAACUUGGAUUAAUACUCCGUAACAUAUAGAAGUGGCAUCACUUUUAUAUUAAAGCAGCAAUGCGCUAGAAGAUGGGUGUGCGGCUGAUUAGAUAGUUGGCGGGGUAACGGCCCACCAAGUCGACGAUCAGUAACUGGUGUGAGAGCACGACCAGUCACACGGGCACUGAGACACGGGCCCGACUCCUACGGGAGGCAGCAGUAAGGAAUAUUGGUCAAUGGACGCAAGUCUGAACCAGCCAUGCCGCGUGGAGGAUGAAGGUCCUCUGGAUUGUAAACUUCUUUUAUUUGGGAAGAAACCCACCUUUUCUUGGGUGGCUGACGGUACCAGAUGAAUAAGCACCGGCUAACUCCGUGCCAGCAGCCGCGGUAAUACGGAGGGUGCAAGCGUUAUCCGGAUUCACUGGGUUUAAAGGGUGCGUAGGUGGGCAAGUAAGUCAGUGGUGAAAUCUCCGGGCUUAACCCGGAAACUGCCAUUGAUACUA
rnacentral:rRNA from 1 species